rnacentral:snRNA from 1 species
UGAUGUGAGGGAGAUCUGGCUGCGACAUCUGUCACCUCAUUGAUCGCCAGGGUUGAUUCGGCUGAUCGGCUGGCUAAGCGGGUGUCCCCUUCCUCCCUCACCGCUCCAUGUGCGUCCCUCCUGAACCUGCACUCUCGGUCAAAGAGGACGGCCUUCCCCGAAUAGAGACAUACUGGUCUUCGGUCGAGGGUAUACGAGUAGCUGCGCUCCCCUGCUAGAACCUCCAAACAAGCUCUCAAGGAUUGAAAUCAGAAGAAACCAUAAAUAACCAAAGUCAUUCUGAAAAAUUAGGAAAUUAGAGAUAUCUCA